rnacentral:rRNA from 1 species
UUCGCCCUUAGAGUUUGAUCCUGGCUCAGGGACGAACGCUGGCGGCGCGCCUAACACAUGCAAGUCGAACGAGCGAGAGAGAGCUUGCUUUCUCGAGCGAGUGGCGAACGGGUGAGUAACGCGUGAGGAACCUGCCUCAAAGAGGGGGACAACAGUUGGAAACGACUGCUAAUACCGCAUAAGCCCACAGCUCGGCAUCGAGCAGAGGGAAAAGGAGCAAUCCGCUUUGAGAUGGCCUCGCGUCCGAUUAGCUAGUUGGUGAGGUAAUGGCCCACCAAGGCAACGAUCGGUAGCCGGACUGAGAGGUUGAACGGCCACAUUGGGACUGAGACACGGCCCAGACUCCUACGGGAGGCAGCAGUGGGGAAUAUUGCACAAUGGGGGAAACCCUGAUGCAGCGACGCCGCGUGGAGGAAGAAGGUCUUCGGAUUGUAAACUCCUGUUGUUGAGGAAGAUAAUGACGGUACUCAACAAGGAAGUGACGGCUAACUACGUGCCAGCAGCCGCGGUAAAACGUAGGUCACAAGCGUUGUCCGGAAUUACUGGGUGUAAAGGGAGCGCAGGCGGGAAGACAAGUUGGAAGUGAAAUCUAUGGGCUCAACCCAUAAACUGCUUUCAAAACUGUUUUUCUUGAGUAGUGCAGAGGUAGGCGGAAUUCCCGGUGUAGCGGUGGAAUGCGUAGAUAUCGGGAGGAACACCAGUGGCGAAGGCGGCCUACUGGGCACCAACUGACGCUGAGGCUCGAAAGUGUGGGUAGCAAACAGGAUUAGAUACCCUGGUAGUCCACACCGUAAACGAUGAUUACUAGGUGUGGGAGGAUUGACCCCUUCAGUGCCGCAGUUAACACAAUAAGUAAUCCACCUGGGGAGUACGACCGCAAGGUUGAAACUCAAAGGAAUUGACGGGGGCCCGCACAAGCAGUGGAGUAUGUGGUUUAAUUCGACGCAACGCGAAGAACCUUACCAAGUCUUGACAUCCUGCGACGAUGCUGGAAACAGUAUUUUCCUUCGGGACGCAGAGACAGGUGGUGCAUGGUUGUCGUCAGCUCGUGUCGUGAGAUGUUGGGUUAAGUCCCGCAACGAGCGCAACCCUUACUGUCAGUUACUACGCAAGAGGACUCUGGCAGGACUGCCGUUGACAAAACGGAGGAAGGUGGGGAUGACGUCAAAUCAUCAUGCCCUUUAUGACUUGGGCUACACACGUACUACAAUGGCGUUAAACAAAGAGAAGCAAGACCGCGAGGUGGAGCAAAACUCAGAAACAACGUCCCAGUUCGGACUGCAGGCUGCAACUCGCCUGCACGAAGUCGGAAUUGCUAGUAAUCGUGGAUCAGCAUGCCACGGUGAAUACGUUCCCGGGCCUUGCACACACAGCCCGUCA